UUCUACAAUGUACACAUCUGCAUUAAUGCACACUCUGCUCACUGACUUAGGAGAGAUAACCUCCAAGGCUGCUUGCAGCUAAGGCUGCAAAACAACAUGCUGGACAUUCCCUCUUUCCUCUGACUACUCCCUAAGCUGUGUCUGGGUGAGAGGCUGCAAACAGGAUGGGGGGAAGGGGGAUGCCCACUGUCCCCUAUGGUUGUGCAGAACCCCUUGGAUCUCCCUUGUGAGCAGUGAGGUAUGACAGACACCAACAGCUCCCUGCUCAGACAGAAUUUGCGAGAUUGUAGAAGCUCAUCUGAGAUGUUAGCUGAUUGAUUAUAAAUACUUUUUUUUUUUUUCAGGGAAAAAAAGAAAAAACACAAAUCAUAGAAUCAUAGAAUCACCAAGUUUGGAAAAGACCUGCAACAUCAUCCAGUCCAGCCGUCCACAGAACCCAUAAGAAUGGCCUUUUGUACAGGCCUCAUUGACCUUCCUCCCAGUGUCCCCAGCAGGCAGCUGGCAUGAGCGUUCCUCUCCUUCUCAGUGCCCCAGCCCAGUCUCCACAGGAAGUUCCUACAUCUGAGACCAAAUCCCUGCAAAGUGAAUGGGAGAGCUGUGUAGGCUGCUGGAUGCGUCAUGUGCCUAUCACUGCAGCUCAUACGCUCUCCAGUGAUAAUCUCUCCAUUCUGAAAAUUUUAUUUCUGAACCCUUGGAUACACAUCAGAUUUGUUGAGCUGAGGCAGAAUAAGCCUCUGGAGAACACCUCCUAGA
rnacentral:lncRNA from 1 species